AGUCUACGGGAGGCAGCAGUGGGGAAUCUUCCGCAAUGGGCGAAAGCCUGACGGAGCAACGCCGCGUGAGUGAAGAAGGUCUUCGGAUCGUAAAGCUCUGUUGUCGGGGACGAAAGAGUAGACGAGGAAAUGCGUCUACUAAGACGGUACCUGACGAGGAAGCCACGGCUAACUACGUGCCAGCAGCCGCGGUAAUGACU
rnacentral:rRNA from 1 species